rnacentral:rRNA from 1 species
CAGUAGCCGCGGGAAUACGGAGGGUGCAAGCGUUAUCCGGAUUUAUUGGGUUUAAAGGGUCCGUAGGCGGACUUAUAAGUCAGUGGUGAAAGCCUGUCGCUUAACGAUAGAACUGCCAUUGAUACUGUAAGUCUUGAGUAUAUUUGAGGUAGCUGGAAUAAGUAGUGUAGCGGUGAAAUGCAUAGAUAUUACUUAGAACACCAAUUGCGAAGGCAGGUUACCAGGAUAUAACUGACGCUGAGGGACGAAAGCGUGGGUAGCGAACAGGAUUAGAUACCCCUGUAGUCCCUGUCUCUUAUAA